UACGUAGGUGGCAAGCGUUGUCCGGAUUUACUGGGCGUAAAGAGCGCGCAGGCGGUCGUUCAAGUCGCGUGUGAAAGCCCCCGGCUCAACUGGGGAGGGUCACGCGAUACUGAUCGACUCGAAGGCAGGAGAGGGUAGUGGAAUUCCCGGUGUAGUGGUGAAAAUGCGUAGAUAUCUGGAGGAACACCGGUGGCGAAGGCGGCAUCCUGGACCGGUAUUGACGCUGAUGCGCGAAAGCCAGGGGAGCAAACGGG
rnacentral:rRNA from 1 species